AUUGAACGCUGGCGGCAGGCCUAACACAUGCAAGUCGAACGAGUGGCGGCCGGUUGGGUAAUGUCUGGGAACCGCCCCAAUGGGGGGGGUUACCUCCUGGAACCGUUGGCUAAUCCCGCAUACCAUCGGAUGUGCCCGGAUGGGAUUAGCUAGUAGGUGGGGUAACGGCUCACCUAGGCGACGUUCCCUAGCGGGUCUGAGAGGAUGACCAGCCACACUGGAACUGAGACACGGUCCAGACUCCUACGGGAGGCAGCAGUGGGGAAUAUUGCACAAUGGGCGCAAGCCUGAUGCAGCCAUGCCGCGUGUAUGAAGAAGGCCUUCGGGUUGUAAAGUACUUUCAGCGAGGAGGCGUUACUCGCAGAAGAAGCAUCGGCUAACUCCGUGCCAGCAGCCGCGGUAAUAC
rnacentral:rRNA from 1 species